CCUACGGGUGGCAGCAGUGAGGAAUAUUGGUCAAUGGACGCGAGUCUGAACCAGCCAAGUAGCGUGAAGGAUGACUGCCCUACGGGUUGUAAACUUCUUUUAUAAAGGAAUAAAGUGAGGCACGUGUGCCUUUUUGUCUGUACUUUAUGAAUAAGGAUCGGCUAACUCCGUGCCAUCAGCCGCUGUAAUACGGAGGAUCCGAACGUUAUCCGGAUUUAUUGGGUUUAAAGGGAGCGUAGAUGGGUUGUUAAGUCAGUUGUGAAAGUUUGCGGCUCAACCGUAAAAUUGCAAUUGAUACUGGCAGUCUUGAGUACAGUUGAGGUAGGCGGAAUUCGUGGUGUAGCGGUGAAAUGCUUAGAUAGCACGAAGAACCCCGAUUGCGAAGGCAGCUUACUAAACUGUGACUGACAUUGAUGCUCGAAAGUGUGGGUAUCAAACAGGAUUAGAUACCCGAGUAGUC
rnacentral:rRNA from 1 species